rnacentral:rRNA from 1 species
UGCAGUCGUACGCUUCUUUUUCCACCGGAGCUUGCUCCACCGGAAAAAGAAGAGUGGCGAACGGGUGAGUAACACGUGGGUAACCUGCCCAUCAGAAGGGGAUAACACUUGGAAACAGGUGCUAAUACCGUAUAACAAUCGAAACCGCAUGGUUUUGAUUUGAAAGGCGCUUUCGGGUGUCGCUGAUGGAUGGACCCGCGGUGCAUUAGCUAGUUGGUGAGGUAACGGCUCACCAAGGCCACGAUGCAUAGCCGACCUGAGAGGGUGAUCGGCCACAUUGGGACUGAGACACGGCCCAAACUCCUACGGGAGGCAGCAGUAGGGAAUCUUCGGCAAUGGACGAAAGUCUGACCGAGCAACGCCGCGUGAGUGAAGAAGGUUUUCGGAUCGUAAAACUCUGUUGUUAGAGAAGAACAAGGAUGAGAGUAACUGUUCAUCCCUUGACGGUAUCUAACCAGAAAGCCACGGCUAACUACGUGCCAGCAGCCGCGGUAAUACGUAGGUGGCAAGCGUUGUCCGGAUUUAUUGGGCGUAAAGCGAGCGCAGGCGGUUUCUUAAGUCUGAUGUGAAAGCCCCCGGCUCAACCGGGGAGGGUCAUUGGAAACUGGGAGACUUGAGUGCAGAAGAGGAGAGUGGAAUUCCAUGUGUAGCGGUGAAAUGCGUAGAUAUAUGGAGGAACACCAGUGGCGAAGGCGGCUCUCUGGUCUGUAACUGACGCUGAGGCUCGAAAGCGUGGGGAGCAAACAGGAUUAGAUACCCUGGUAGUCCACGCCGUAAACGAUGAGUGCUAAGUGUUGGAGGGUUUCCGCCCUUCAGUGCUGCAGCUAACGCAUUAAGCACUCCGCCUGGGGAGUACGACCGCAAGGUUGAAACUCAAAGGAAUUGACGGGGGCCCGCACAAGCGGUGGAACAUGUGGUUUAAUUCGAAGCAACGCGAAGAACCUUACCAGGUCUUGACAUCCUUU